rnacentral:lncRNA from 1 species
AGCUGUCAAUGUAUUAUUUUUAGCACCACCAACAUCUUCGGAUGACGAAGAGUAUUAUACACCCAUAAAAAGAAAGAAGAGGAGGAAAAAGAGGAGGCGCUAUUACUAAGCGAAAGCCUCCAUUAUUGCUCCAGCAGGCUGGUUCAGACCAUUCACCACUGGGGCAGGACCACCUGCUGUGCUGCUUCUCAUCUCUCUCCUUUGAUGUGACACUGCCUGCCCCCUGCCUGAGGCCACACCCGGUUCUCCAAGAUUUUCUGGAAUUAUCAGCAAACUGUGAACUUAGGAGUUUCUGCUAAAAGGCCAUUCUGACCCCUUAACAAGAAACUUGGAGUGACUGGGGGUGGGCUUCCCUCUUUAUAAAGUACAGGCAUUAUUAAACAUUUGAGCCUUG